CGCGCCCGGGCUGCCCUGGCGGCCGAGACGCGGGGGCGCGCGGGCCGCCGCCAUGCGGUCCUCGCAUCACGUGGCCCGAGACGCGCGGAGCCUCGCGGAACCCGCCUCUCGCCUCCCGCCACCUCCGCGCUCGACCCGGUCUUUUUCGGGUCUCGCAGGAAGACGCCACAGCUGCUCUCGGUUGUUUCACUGCAUAAAAACACGCUCUCUGUGUGGGGCGGGUGACGUGUCAGGACUGCAUGUGGCCGUCGUCCCCACCCGGCCUAGAUCCCCGGGAGGCCUGCGCAGUUGCCGCGUUCCAGGCCCGUGGCCUAGCUGUGCGUGCCUGUGGGUCGGCCGGGGCACCUUCCGCCUACCAGUCAAGGGCCCAGGAGUCCAUGAGGCCCCAGGGAGGGCGAGAGGCGUCCCGGGGAUCCAGGGUCCUGGGGAGGGUUGGUGCAGAAAGAUCGUUGGAACAAACCGCUCCUUUUUAGCCGAGAGACUUAAGAAUGAGGUCACUUCCGAAAGGUCAGGCUGUCUUCCACAGUCACCUGGCCUGGCCCCAGCCCGCCAGGAAACCAGGUCACCAUGAUCAGCUCUCCAUGGCUGGACAGAUGAAGAAAUGGGAGACAGGGAGGCUGAGGAACUGGGGAGCCCGUGUUACUUGCUUAAUGGCCAUGUACUACAGCAAGGUGCUGGAACCUUGGAACCGCGGAAGAGCCUUGUGGGAGCUCUUCCAACCAUUGGCCCAAGAAAGGAGUAUUGAGACACAGCCCUCCCUCUUUCUUUUCCUGUCCCAGCCAUGAGGUAAGUGGUUUUACCACUUUUAUUUGGGGGGUGGGGGGCGUACCAGGGAUUGAACUCGGUCCUUGCACUUGUGAGGCAGGUGGUGGAACCACUGAGCUAAAUCCCCGGGCCAGUUUUGCCACUUUCUGACGCCAUGGUGUGGUCCCUUACGACAGGCCCCAAAGCACUGGGUAUAACAAUCAUAGACCGACACCUCCAAAAGUUUGAGCCUAAAUAAACCUAUUUUAUGACUCAGGUAUUUUUUUUUUUUUACAGUAACAGAAACCUGACUGAUGCAGCAUGCUUCUGUCUUACAGGAUAGGACAUCAGAUUGGAACACAAGUGCUCCACAAUGUGCUGUCUUCCCUAGAGGUGGUCAAUAUGAAGCACAUGAGAAAAGGAUUGGUUAGACACAUACAAAGCUAUAAGCCAAGAAGAGGAAAGGGUUUAAAAGAAAAAGGGACAGUUAAGACCAGACAAAAAGACAAGGAAAAGCAGAAUGAAGGAAGGAAUAAGAAAAGAAGAUAUAGGUGGAAAUAGAGAAGUAACAAUGAUUAAAAUAUAUUGAAGCUUUACCAUUUGCCAGGCAUUAUAAAUGCUUUCCACAAAUUACAGUGUGUAAGCCUCAUAAUGUGAGGAAUCUUCUACUAUUUUUCCCACUCAACAGAAAAGAAAAAUGAUGUUUAGAGAGAUACACAGACGUGUUGAAGGUCAUAGAACUAGUGAGGGGAAAACCAGGGAUUUAAAUCCAUGCCUUUCUUAACUCCUAACAUGUACUUCACCUUAUGCUCAAGGGACAAUGUCGUGUGCUUAGUUCAUAUCAACAGCUUAAAUGCAUAAUAUGUGCUCUUAACCUCUGAGCUGGAGUCACAGGCUUUGUGAGAUUGCCGUCUCUCUGUCCUGGUGGAAGAGCAAGCCAGUAAACAUGGAAUACUGCCACGGUAAUCAGAAUAUGCUUACAAUAGCCGCCUGUAGAGUCCUGUGUGGAAGAAUGCAAAGGGCGGUCUGCACACUGGAGAGCCAAAGAAUCCAGUCAAAGGUGAAAGACCUGAAGCUCACUGCCCAGUCCUGUUGCAGUCUGUAUCAGGAAGCUGAAGGGUCGAUGUUCAGAGGCUGAGGAGUCUGCGUGAGAAGCUUUACUGCCUUCUGCCUGCCAUGAAUUGUUUCUCCUCCAUGAUGCCCUCUGCCAUGCCACCCUGUCUUGGAGCCAGCUAACUUUGGACUAAAACCUCUACAAUCUGAGCUACAAUAAAUUUUUCUUCCUUUAACUUUGGGUGUCAGGAUUUUUGUCUCAGCAAUGAGAAAAAUGCCUAAGACAGUCAUACUGGCCUAGUUUGCAGGGUGAGCAAUGAAUAAGUGAUGAUUAUGAAAUAUUUACCAAAUCCAAAUGUCUAAUUUGGUUUAGCCAUAGGAUGGGCUGAAUUAAAAGGAGAAUUAUUAUCACAAAGGACUACAGGUUUAUACAUGUUUAAUCUUGCCAGCCUCCUACUGAACAUUCCUAAGAAAUGAUAUUUCUUCUUUUAUAUAUAUCAUAAUACUUGUAUGAGCUUUCUCUCCAAAGGUAAAGGUGUAUUAUGCAUUGAUGAAUGUCAUCAGUUAUUAAAAGAUUAACUAAAUACUAGGCACCACAUUAUCUCACAACUUUGUGAAGUAGAAGUAGGUCCUGAUGACCCAAUUUUAUAGAUGAGGAAUCAAAGUUCAGAGAGGCAGAAGUAAGAUUUCAAGCCAGCACUCUCUCCGUGCACAACUAUCACACAUUUACUUUCUGUUAAAAACAAGUCUGACCAUUUAACUUUGCUGGGCACCUCGUUGGGGAAAAGGGAUACAAAGUGGAAAACAAUGACAGCAGAGCAAGAGGCAGAGUACACACUGUUUCGGGGUUCUUAGCUACAUGCUUGUCCUCUACAAAAUUAACAGCAGCAGAUAUGAAGUAAUAAGUAAGGGCUAAUAAACUAUGGGACUGAUAAUGCAUCUGCAGUAAAACUUACACCAGAGAUUUCCAGUGCUGAAUUAACUCAGUCCUUUACAGGACCCUUCAAAGUAUGGACCUUGGAGAACUUGAAUCGAAUCACAUCAGAUACUUUUAAAGAAGUGAUCGCUAAGACUUAUCCUUGGAAAUCCAAUUCAAAGCAUUUGGAGCAAGGUCUAGGAUUCUAUAUAUGAGUCCUAUGCAACAAACGUUUGAUAAACGCUCUUCCAGCUACUAACCUCAGUUCCAUAAUUGAAACUUUUUCAAACUUCAUAAGGUGGUUGCAGAGUUC
rnacentral:lncRNA from 1 species